rnacentral:rRNA from 1 species
UACAGAGGUGGCAAGCGUUGUUCGGAAUUACUGGGCGUAAAGGGCGCGUAGGCGGUCCUACAAGUCCCGCGUGAAAGCCCCCGGCUCAACUGGGGAACUGCGCGGGAAACUGUGGGGCUUGAGUUCGGGAGAGGGAAGCGGAAUUCCGGGUGUAGCGGUGAAAUGCGUAGAUAUCCGGAGGAACACCGGUGGCGAAGGCGGCUUCCUGGACCGACACUGACGCUGAGGCGCGAAAGCUAGGGGAGCAAACGGG